CGAUGAAGGACGUGCAAACCUGCGAAAUGCUACGGGGAGCUGGUUGGAAGCGAUAAUCCGUAGAUGUCCGAAUGGGGGAACCUGAUUAAUAGUGAUAUUAAUCAUUUAGAUCUGAAUACAUAGGGUCUAAAAGCAAUACGUUGUGAAGUGAAACAUCUCAGUAGCAACAGGAAAAGAAAUCGAAAGAGAUUCCGUGUGUAGUGGCGAGCGAAAGCGGAACAGGCCAAACCAAGAUUUAUCUUGGGGUUAUAGGACUGCAAUGUGGACUUUGAACUGAUAGGAGAAGUAGUUGAAAAGCUACGCGAUAAAGGGUUAUAGCCCCGUAUCUUAAAUUGGUUUAAUACCUAGCAGGAUCCUGAGUACAUCGAGAAACGUUAUCUUGAUCGAAGUCGCCCAGACCAUUGGGCAAGCCUAAAUACUAACUAGUGACCGAUAGCGUAUAGUACCGUGAGGGAAAGGUGAAAAGAACCCAGGGAUGGGAGUGAAA
rnacentral:rRNA from 1 species